AGUGAACGCUGGCGGUAGGCCUAGCACAUGCAAGUCGAACGGCAGCACAGUAAGAGCUUGCUCUUACGGGUGGCGAGUGGCGGACGGGUGAGGAAUACAUCGGAAUCUACUUUUUCGUGGGGGAUAACGUAUGGAAACUUACGCUAAUACCGCAUACGACCUACGGGUGAAAGCAGGGGAUCUUCGGACCUUGCGCGAUUGAAUGAGCCGAUGUCGGAUUAGCUAGUUGGCGGGGUAAAGGCCCACCAAGGCGACGAUCCGUAGCUGGUCUGAGAGGAUGAUCAGCCACACUGGAACUGAGACACGGUCCAGACUCCUACGGGAGGCAGCAGUGGGGAAUAUUGGACAAUGGGCGCAAGCCUGAUCCAGCCAUACCGCGUGGGUGAAGAAGGCCUUCGGGUUGUAAAGCCCUUUUGUUGGGAAAGAAAAGCAGCAGGUUAAUACCCCGCUGUUCUGACGGUACCCAAAGAAUAAGCACCGGCUAACUUCGUG
rnacentral:rRNA from 1 species